GACGAACGCUGGCGGCGUGCCUACUACAUGCAAGUCGAACGCAGUGGGGACGGGUGAGUAACACGUGGGUAACCUCCCAUCAGCUGGGAUAACACUUGGAAACAGGUGCUAAAUCGAUACUCAUGGAUGGACCCGCGGUGCAUUAGCUAGUGGGUGAGGUAACGGCUCACCAAGGCCACGAUGCAUAGACGACCUGAGAGGGGGAUCGGCCAGACUGAGACUGAGACACGGCCCAGACUCCUACGGGAGGCAGCAGUAGGGAAUCUUGAGCAAUGGGCGAAAGUCGGACAGAGCAACGCCGCGUGAGUGAAGAAGGUUUGCGGAUCGUAAAACUCUGUUGUUAGAGAAGCGGUAUCUAACCAGAAAGCCACGGCUAACUACGUGCCAGCAGCCGCGGUAAUAC
rnacentral:rRNA from 1 species